GGGCGAGUAGCUCAGUGGGAGAGCGCUUCCCUUACAAGGAAGAUGCCACAGGUUCGAAUCCUGUCUCGCCCACCA
rnacentral:tRNA from 1 species